AUAUACAUGUUGAGAAAGAAGAGUAAUUUUAAAUUCAUUUAAAGAGAGAUGAUGGUAGGUGAAAAUCAUUAAUAAUUUAAAAUGAAUGGAGCUUUUGAGUGUAAUGUUUUGAAAGUUGGGCUUUAGCCAAGAAGGGUGGAACCGCGGAAUAAUAAUUUCGUCCCUUUA
rnacentral:ncRNA from 1 species